rnacentral:pre_miRNA from 1 species
UCACCUCUGCAGGCUGGCGGGCCCCUAGGCUGGGUGGGGGAGUAUCUCUUCGAAAGGCUCCUUCUCGAGCAGGACUAGGAGC